UUUCAAUGAUGAUUCAAAGUCAGUUCUGCUACUGAGAGUAUUUGAAGACAAUGGUCUACCCUGAAAAUUCAGUAAUUCUGACUA